rnacentral:snRNA from 1 species
GUGCUUGCUUCAGCAGCACAUAUACUAAAAUUGGAAUGAUACAAAGAAGAUUAGCAUGACCCCUGCUCAAGGAUGACAUGCAAAUUCAUAAAGUAUUCCAUUUUUUU